GAUGAAGAACGUAGUGAAAUGCGAUACUUGGUGUGAAUUGCAGAAUCCCGUGAACCAUCGAGUCUUUGAACGCAAGUUGCGCCCGAAGCCACUAGCCCGAGGGCAUGCCUGCCUGGGCGUCACACGCCGUUGCCCCCCCAUCUACUCCUUCGGGAUUGCGGGGGGGCGGAUGAUGGCCUCCCGUGCGCCUAGCCGCGCGGUUGGCAUAAAUACCAAGUCCUCGGCGACGCACGCCACGACAAUCGGUGGUUGCGAAACCUCGGUUGCCCGUCGUGUGCGUUCGUCGCGCAUCGAGGGCUCGAAAAAAUGCUCGGCUCCGGCUGGGCUUUCAACGCGACCCCAGGUCAGGCGGGGUUACCCGCUGAAUUUAAGCAUAUCAAUAAGCGGAGGA
rnacentral:misc_RNA from 1 species